rnacentral:rRNA from 1 species
AGUUGAGCGUACCCNGCAAUGGGGAGCAGCGUAAGGGGCAGUAAUGCAUGGGUAUCUACCCGGGGAUCGGGCAUAGCCUGUCGAGAGACAGGGUAAUUCCCGAUGAUGUCGCAAGACCAAAGCUCCGGCGUCCCUGGAGGAGCCCAUGUGAUAUUAGCUAGUUGGUGGGGUAACGGCCCACCAAGGCGAAGAUGUCUAGCGGGUGUGAGAGCACGACCCGCGCCACUGGCACUGAGACACUGGCCAGACACCUACGGGUGGCUGCAGUCGAGGAUCUUCGGCAAUGGGCGCAAGCCUGACCGAGCGAGGCCGCGUGGGCGAUGAAGGCCUUCGGGUUGUAAAGCCCUGUCGAGGGGGAGAAAAGCCGCAAGGCGUGAUCUAUCCCUGGAGGAAGCACGGGCUAAGUUCGUGCCAGCAGCCGCGGUAAGACGAACCGUGCGAACGUUGUUCGGAGUCACUGGGCUUAAAGGGCGCGUAGGCGGGCUAUCAAGUCCGGGGUGAAAUCCUCCAGCUCAACUGGAGAACGGCCUCGGAUACUGAUGGUCUCGAGGAGGAUAGGGGCACACGGAACUGUGGGUGGAGCGGUGAAACGCGUUGAUAUCCAUAGGAACUCCGGUGGCGAAAGCGGUGUGCUGGAUCCUUUCUGACGCUGAGGCGCGAAAGCCAGGGGAGCAAACGGGAUUAGAUACCCCGGUAGUCCUGGCCCUAAACGUUGGGUACUANGUAGUAGACUAGACAUGGGUUUACUUCCGAAGCAAAAGUGCUAAGUACCCCGCCUGGGGANUAUGGUCGCAAGGCUGAAACUCAAAGGAAUUGACGGGGGCUCACACAAGCGGNGGANCAUGUGGCUUNNUCGAGGCAACG